rnacentral:tRNA from 2 species
GGAGAGCUGGCAGAGCGGUUGAAUGCGGCGGUCUUGAAAACCGUUAUAUCCUCACGGGUAUCCGGGGUUCGAAUCCCUGGCUCUCCGCCA